AGAGAGAGACAUGCGCGCAUAUCAAUAAGCGGAGGAAAAGAAACUAACUAGGAUUCCCUCAGUAACGGCGAGUGAAGCGGGAAGAGCUCAAAUUUGAAAUCUUCAAGGUUCUACCUUGACGAAUUGUAGUUUAAAGAAGUGUUUUCUGUUGGAGUUUUGGUAAAAGUUCUUUGGAAUAGGACAUCAUAGAGGGUGAGAAUCCCGUAUUUGACCAUUAUUUCCAGCUUUGUGAUACACUUUCAAAGAGUCGGAUUGUUCGGGAAUGCAGUCCAAAAUGGGUGGUAAAUUUCAUCUAAAGCUAAAUAUUGGCGAGAGACCGAUAGCGAACAAGUACCGUGAGGGAAGGAUGAAAAGAACUUUGAAAAGAGAGUUAAACAGUACGUGAAAUUGUCAAAAGGGAAGCGUUUGACACCAGUGUUGUUUUCUCGAAAAUCAAUUAAAAAAGGCAGGAUUUUGUGUUGUAUUGACUUUAUCAGCUUUCUGCACUCUUUUCUUGUCUUUUUUAAUGCACUUUUCGUUUAACAAGUCAACAUCAAUUUCUUUUGUUGUAAAAGGGUCAUUGGAAGGUGGCUUUCUUUUCGGAGAAAGUGUUUAUAGCCUUUGCCUCUGCAAUCGGAGAGAUUGAGGUCUGCAGCGUAGAUCCUUCGGGGUUAGAUACAUUUGUGCUAAGUUAUAGCCUUUCAUAGACAACUUGUUGACUAUGAUCAGUCAUGUAGCUUACUCGCUUAUGCUAUUUUACCUACGCUUAGGAUGUUGAUGUGAUACUGCGAGC
rnacentral:rRNA from 1 species